rfam:Lactobacillus rossiae DSM 15814 Scaffold1, whole genome shotgun sequence.
GGAGAGUUGGCAGAGUGGUAAUGCAACGGACUCGAAAUCCGUCGAACCCGUUUAUAGCGGGCGCGCAGGUUCAAAUCCUGUACUCUCCU